UACGUAGGGGGCAAGCGUUGUCCGGAAUCAUUGGGCGUAAAGAGCGUGUAGGCGGUCCGGUAAGUCCGCUGUGAAAGUCGGGGGCUCAACCCUCGAAUGCCGGUGGAUACUGUCGGGCUAGAGUGCGGAAGAGGCGAGUGGAAUUCCUGGUGUAGCGGUGAAAUGCGCAGAUAUCAGGAGGAACACCUAUUGCGAAGGCAGCUCGCUGGGGCGUAACUGACGCUGAGACGCGAAAGCGUGGGGAGCAAACAGG
rnacentral:rRNA from 1 species